UAGUGCUAUAUAGAAGCCACUGUAGCAGUGCACACAUUGCACUCACUACGUGGCUUCUGUUUUUUUUUUUUUUUUUAAACCAAACGUGCGUUUUAAUUCUCGGUUGAUUUCUCUUCCCCAUUCGAAUUUCAGAGCCCCAUUCGAAUUUCAGAGCCCCGCGAAAUACCUCCUCCCUCGCUCGCAUCGCAUCACCUUCCUCUACCCAGCACCACCCGGCGACGCCGUCUUUCUGUCCAACUACACCGAGCGACGCUCCUCCGUCUGCCCAGCGCUACCACUCCUCGAGAUCAGAUCAUUGAACGGAGCAAAUCAUAUUUAAUCUUGCGAAGACCCCCCUCCUCCCUCACCAAGCAACCUGUGUCGCGGCAUUUGACCUCUGCCCAGCACCACCCUGCAAAGCUCAUCCAUUUGCCCAGGUUCGCCCCUCCCCCGAGCUCAUUUAAUGGAAACUAGCGACACUACUAUGGUGGAGCUCUCUUUCGCCGCCGUCCCUUGGAGGGCAUCGUAGGAUAGAUGCAUGGUGUAGAUGGUGGAGUUGCAUCUAGAGGAUUGUCAGAGGACCCACUGAAGAUGUUUCCAGGAAUUUUGACUUUUAGUGAUGAAUGGACCACCUUCUAGGCUGAUCCAGCUGAAGUAGAAAUGGUCACUUUUAAUUACAUGAACAUUAUUUACAGCCGUGAAGCUAGGAAUCUUUGUUGAAAAGAAAAUGGGGACAUCAAAAGUGAAGAAGCACGAGGCCAAUUCAAAAGUGAAAAUGGGUAGCUGUUGUGCUUCCAGAGUUAAAGUAUAAUAGGAACUAAUGUUUCACUCUUUUGACCAAUGUUUAUGUUAGCUUCAGCAGAUACAUCUGGCUCAUUCUAAUUUGUAAAGAUUCACUUAUGCUAGUCAACGAAUUAGCUGUAAUUAUUAGUAAUCUUGGUUGGUUUAGCACAUGAACGUGCUCUGUUUUAGACUCCGGAAAACUAAGUCUUUGAACUUGGAUAGGUUAUGAAUAUAAUGGCAAUUUGCA